AGCGCUUUUUUAGCGCUGGACGAGAUCCGUCCAACAGUAAAAAAAACUGUACAUAUUAAACUUUUAUUUUAAUCUUGGCCGCUGGAUAUUCAUACAACGGCAAACUGAUUCGGUGGGGUUUGAGUUUUGAUUAUUAGAUUUGUGUUAUUUCUUUUUCUUUUUGAAUUAAUUUCUGAGUUGUUUUUGUAAUAAAUUGGUUUAUAUUGUUUAGAAUAAUCGAUUAUCAUUGGUAUAUGUUUUGUGAGACGAAGAGUUAAAUGGGAAAAACUUUAAAAUAAAAAAUACCGGAUGAUACCUGCAUAUAUGUAAAAAAAUAUAGAGUUAAAUUUUAGUUUUUUUUAUGACACUAUGUCUGAUUUUUUGAUUGUCAGGGAUUUGAAAGUAAUGUUUAAUUGUUGGGUAUUUAUCAAAUAUACAUCUUUUUAACAUUUUAAUUGCAAUAAUACAAUCUUUACCUAAAAAUUGCAGAUUUACUUUUUUUUUAAAAAAAUAACAUAACUAUUUGCACUUAUACGGCUCCCCUCACCCACCCAAAACCCUACGCGCCUCCUCUUGCUCCAGGCCUCUCUUCUCUGUCUCUCUCUUCCGCUUCCAUCUCUCAUCUCUUCGCUCUCUCUCUAUUUCCUUCUCCUCGCUCUUUUAUCCUUCUUUUUCUUUGUCUCAUUUUUUUCAUUAUCAGUUCCAUCAAACUUCAAUUGAUAAGAUAAAUUGUUGAUUAGGAUAUCAGAUCUUGGGUAAAUCAAAUUGAUUCCAAAAAAUGAUAAAUACAUGAGAAAGAUGGAGGACACGAAUCAAGAGAAGUGAAGAAGGCCGGAGUGGAAGCUUCCAAAAGUGGCUGCUCGUGUUGAUUUUAGGGCCAAAGCCUCUACUCUCCGACUUGCAAAAGGGACGACUCCUAAAUUAAUAUACUCCAAUAAUAUGCAUGAUCCAAGUAUCUCGAAUAAGUCUUUCUUCGGUCCCAGACCAACUCAUAGGUGUUGAUAUAUUAUUGUUAGUUUUGGCAUUAUGUUCAUGUAAUCUUUGUAUCUUUGGUAUUAACAGGGAAUUCAUAUAAAAUGAAUCUAAUAAUUUUUUAUUAAAUUUUUUAACAUUUUCAUGUACAUUACUUAAAAAACACUCUAAUUUGAAGGGAAAAUUAACUAUUAUUUAUAUGAAUAUAUUUCUUCAAAUUAAAAAUUAUAUCAGCGUUUUCUUCUUAAAUUGAAAACGUUAUAUUAUUUAGCGUUAAUAACGAGUAUUUUGAGGUCAUUUUUUAUAACUCUGUUAUUCAACUUAUUCUGGACAUUACUUCCAGAUUUUGUAAAAUCUGGGACCAUUUUUCAUUGCAUGCAUCCUAUUGUCCUUGAUUGCCAUCUUUAUAUUUAUAUAAAGGAGGUUCCUCCCACGCUGACGUGGCAGGCCCCUGCAGCCUUCUUUCAAAUUCUGUGAUUUUCUGGAUUUUUGCUAUUUAAUAAUCACAAUUUUUUAAAAUUGCAUAUUUUUUUAAAGCUAGCUGAAGAGUUACUGGAUUCAUGACUUUUUAGUGUCCUGUAUAUCAAACGCCUUGAUAAACCCCGCAGCAUCGAAAACCCCUUCGCCCAACUCGGCUCAAUCUCUCUCAAACUUCAAAGAUGCAAUCGCAGCCCUACAGCAAAGCGCCCGAGACAGAGAGAGAGAGACAGGAGAUGAUUGUAUAUUGGGUCGCCACAUUGAUUUGGAUAUACUGAUAAUCUCUUUUUUCCUCUCAAGCUUACAAAAUUUUGUCAAUGUUUUUUUUAUUGUGAUUCAGUGUGCUGGAGGUUCAUAUGGAGCUGGCAAUGCUAUGCAAGAUGAAAUUUCCAAGGAUCAUCUUAAGCAUGUCUUGGAAUAUCGAAAAUCUGUACUCCAGAAAGAAGAGGCGAUGGCUUGCAUUAAUCAGGUUUUAUUCUUCCAGUUUUUUUUUUUUGGCCUCCCACUUCCUUCAUGUAUAUUUCACGGUUAUUGUAAAAAGGGUCAUAUGUUCCGGUCCAUUUCUGCAAGUAUUAUAGAGACAAGUCUAUAAUGUAGUUAUUUGCAAACUUCUGGCCUCCUGAACUCGAAAUUGAAAUUUUAUUUGGCCUAUGAUUUUUUGAGAAGAUGGCAUAUGGGAAUGGCCUCAAGCUCUGCUGUUCAUGAUUCCUCAAUUGCGGGGCAUUGAGCCUCGGUUCUCUGAGGGGCAUGAUCAGGUUAUGUGGAUUUCGAAAGAAGAAAAGCAAGUAAAUUUUAGUAUUAAUCAAGUCUGGGAGGAUAUUAGGCUGAGAAAUUCCAAAGUGAUAUGGUGGCAUUUGAUUCGGUUUGCUAAAAGUAUUCCUAAACAUUGUUUCACUUUUUGGCUAGCUGUCCGGGAUCGACUGCUUACGCAAGAUCGCCUUAAAUUUUGGCAAAUUCAUAGAAGUGCUGCGUUUAGUUUUUGUGGAGGUCUUGGAUAAUUUGUUUUUUCAGUGUGGUUUUUGUCUUAAUGUAUUAAGGGCUUUUCAAUUGAGAGGUUAUUGUUUGUUGUACAAAGGGUGCUGGGAGGAGUUUAUUCGAGCUUCAGCUGUUACUUGGCAGCAGGGGCGUCUCCAGGAUUUCGGAGGCCCUAGUAAUAUACUACAAAGAAUCAAAAAUAUGUAGUAUCUAGUAUAGAAAAUUAAUUUUGAAUUAAAAAUCUCAAAGUAGAGAAGAAUUGAAGAGAUCACUAUAUAUUAUCUUUGCUGGCAUGCUGCUCUGGUUCUAUAUCUGCUCAAUUGAGCGUAUUAGGUUUUCUACUUUUUGGAUAUAUUAAAGACUUAAAGUGAUUUAAAAUAUUGAAAAACAUUAUAUUUUAUUGGGCUUUUAUCUAUUUUUUAUUUUAUUACAUGAGCCUAAAGUUAAAUGACUGUAUAUAUAGGAGGCCCCUGUAUGGAUGGAGGCCCUAGGCAAAUAGAUGGGAAGACUCCCCCUGAAGACGCCUCUGCUUGGCAGGGUAAAUCGUUGCAUGUUUUGGUCAAUGAACUGGUUUUAGCAUCUAUAAUACUACUCCAUCUCUGGCAUGAACGAAAUAGAAGAUUAUUUGUGGGGCAGAUUAUUCAGUUGUUAAUUCUCCGAGGGUGAGAGAAGAGAUGUUAAGUUGGGGUUUAAAUCCUGAGCUCCUUUCAAUCCAAUUGUGUUGAUAUGGAGGACUUUAUUUUUCUGCUGGAAAUUCGCUCUAGGAGUCAAGGACAUAAUUCUGGUCUGUAUGUCUGGGAUUUUGUGUUUGUUGUUGCUUGUUGGAUUUGGCUGUUGAGAGUUAUAUUUUGCUAUAAUUUUUGGGUCUUAACGUGCUAUUUAUUAGAGCACUGUCGUAGGUUAUUGGGUCUGCAGAUCUCAGUUUGCUUGCAAGGUCUUUCUCAGUCACCUCUUUGGAAUGCUCGAGCUUUUUUGUUUGGGUGCCGAUGUCGUUGCUACGUUUUGGAGUUCUUUAGUCUGGGAGUUUCUGGCUUGGUGUUGCUGUUGUAAUCUGGGUUUGUUUAAUUUGUAUGGAAGUUGCUGUUUUAAGUUGGGAGUGUGGUACAGAUUUAGGAGUGAAUUUUGGUUGUUGUUGUUCGUGUGUUUGGUUGUUUUCCGGAUGAAGGUUUUAUUGGCAGGGGAUGUGGUUUUUGCUUUGCGGCUGGGUGUGUGUUUUAUAUCAGUUUCCUGCUGCUGUCUGAAUCUAGGAUUUUUUCCAGUUUGCAUCACAGAGGUUAGUUGCAGAUGCUGCAGGUAGAAGGUUAUGGUUUUUAUUCUGUAGGCUUGCAGCGAUCAGACGUUGUACUGGCAGUGUGGUCCUGUCUUCCUAUCUUAUUUCGGCAAAUCUGUUGGUGCCUGAAUUGGGUGGGGAUAGCAUUUACCUUGGGUUGUAAUAUUGGUAAGGGAUUGCCGUGGCUUAUAAAGUUUUUUAAUUGCUGAAUGGGUGCGGUUAUUUAUAUUGAUUUGUCUCGAAUUUUAAUUUAUUAUAUACUUUUCAUUGUGAUCA